rnacentral:lncRNA from 1 species
UGGUUACUCUUAUUUAAUACAACAGCACAGACUAAUAUACAUGAAAAAUGCAUCAAAGAAACGAAACAAUAUAUUUCUGCCUUUCUAAGGGGUAAAAACAGUCAGAACAAUCAGAGGCUUUUUUGUGAGAAUACAAAAGAACCACCAGACCACUACAUGCAAAACCCAGAAAUAAUCUUGUGUGGGUAUAAAUCAGCCCCUACCCCUCCCUGUGCUCAGCCCAUGCAUCAUACCCAGAGCUACACUCUUUUAUUCCCUUUAUGGCAUGUCUUGGAGGUCCUUGACAGGAGCUGCACUGACCUGUCAGGGUUGUGCUACCUGCACAUCUGCCACCUGUGUCAGGCUCAAUUCUUCUUUAAGUCACAGCUUUCCAAUGUCUCUCCAUCACAAGAUGCUGGCCCUCAAUUACAGGCAGUGUCUUACUGAAUUUUUUCGUGCUGUCACAUCACUCCUGCCUGUGAGAUGCAGCAUAAGCCCAGCAAUUGCCCUAGCACACAAAGGCUAAAUUUGUUAAAAACAAAACAAAACAACAACAACAAAUGUUUACAGAAGUGUUAAAGCAAAUAACUGGAAAUUCUUAAGCCUAUAUGAAGCAUUUCUCUGUGACCAUGCUGGUCACAGGUCAGGAUCUUCCUUUCUCCAUCUCUGUCCAUCACCCAAUCCAAAAGCACAGCUCAGUGAGGAGCAGCUGGUAACACCAGAGGCAACCCAAAAUUGCUGAAUCCAGCCCCUGUCACAGCUGGAAGCAGAGCCUCAGGCAAGAUGCUCCCUGCCUGGAGGAAGCUGUGCCCAAGAGGAGGAUGAAGCUCUCAGGUACCAGCAGCUUUGGCAAAGGGUAUUUAAAGACUGAGCGCUGCCCUGGCCCUCUCCAUCCUUAAGCAGCAAAGCCCUAAGAUCCUUCCAAACAAUAUUUUUCCAAAUAUUUCUUUUAAAACCACUGUAGUUUUCAUAAAACUCAUUUUACCUGUAAUUUUAUCAAAUAGUUUUGGUGAAAACUGUUCACUCCCUACUUGGUGAUAGCCACAACCAAAACUUGUUCAUAUGCCUAUAUUAAUACUGGGAAUACGCUCCAGUCUUGUUUUCUAAGCCUAAAAUUACUUGAAAUAACUUUCCAUCGAGACCUAUAAAUCUGAUCUGUGACUUACACACAAACAUUUCACCUGGUUCCACAUCAUUCAUUGGACCUGGGAGGAAAAUGGACCCUAAAUGAACAUAAACCAUAGCAUCUGAGUAUUUACCAUUGCAUCUUCUUUAACUGAGGAAAAACAGUUCCUCUGUCACAUCCUUCCUGUCCAUCACUUUUUUUUAGCUGAAAACACACAAUUAUUGGUGAUAGAAAUUCUAAGUAAAUAAAAUUAGUUCUAAUUAGUAAUCAAAGUACUUUUACUGAAUAAGUAAACUGUAAAUCUUUCCUCUGUGCCUACAGGACAUAUUCUCUCUCAUAUUGUCUGUGAUCAUAUUACCAGAGUCCUGCUACUGGGCAAACCUGGUAAAUGAAACACAGAAAUACCAGACAUUCUGCAAGGUGUGAGCCAGGCAAAUGCUGCUGGUGUUGGUUGGUGGGGUUGUACUGUUUGCAAGAAAAAGCUGCUACUAAACUGCUGCAGCCCUUUCCAGUGUUUUAAUGGUGGAAAAAAUGGUAAAGCACCUGCUAUAGGCCAUGAGAAGGAGAAGGAAUGAAACUGCUUUAGAUUUCCACUGUGGUGCACAUCCUUACAACCAAAUGUUCAUGUAUAAACCAUCAUUCAUUAGCUAUGAUAAAACAUGCACUAAAAAUAAUUUUUAAAGGAACAUUCAGCUGCUAUUUACCUAUUAUUUUUUUGCCAUUCAAUAUGGUUUGAUUUUUUUGCCCCUUUUUAAAAACAAUUCAUCCCACUCCACCUUGACAUCUUGUUUACAAUUUGUUUCUAGCCACAGAGAGCUGACAGAUGUGAUGUGAUUAGCAAGACAAGACAGCCUAAAUACAGAGCAGACAGCACAGCAGACAACACGCGAGGGGCCUGCGAGCUCCUCUGCACGCUCCAUCAUCCCCACCAGCCCUGGAAGUUUCCAUCUGACAGUGGAGAUGGGCAUUAACCCCUGCAGCUCCACACAAGGGUUGAUUUCAAAACAGGCUGCACUUAGGAGCAAACCCAGUUUCUGUUGAAUUAUAGAGAAAAAAGUGUCUUUCUGUAGCGCAGCUCUUUCAGACAGGAACAUUUCCAGCUCAGUUCCACUAUCAUUAGCAGAGUUACUAAAAUUAUUUUUGAAGAUCAGCUUGUGUGCUGUGACCUUGUCCUUGUGCCACCUCAGCAGUACUACGGGAACAAGAACAGAGCCCCACAGCUGCUCUGAGCAGUGAGGAAACCCUCCCCUCCAGUAUUCAGAGCUGUCAGACAUGGAGUCAUCUGUGUGUUUUCCAAGCAAAGGGGUCAGGACUGGGAGGGCAAAGAGAAACUGAGGAAUUGUCUAACAAACCCAAAUGAGCAUUUCUGGUGUUGGCAAAUUCAGAUACCUGGGGUCUCUCGUGCCAGGGUCUUUAUAGUACAAUGCUUUGGCUUCUCAACCUCCCCCCACCCUGCUUCGCCGCUCAAGCAUCAUCCAGAGAAGAAGCUCCUUUACAGUCAUUUGAUGGGGUCUUUCCAAAAUAUUACUCCCCGGUUUUGAAAGGCACAUGAGGCCAUCCAAUAUCCACCCCUCAGCACCACACAUCUGAGAAUGUACCAAGCAGGUUCUGCAGACAAUGGGGUCACGAUCCUUGGCAGGUGGCUUUACUUACUGCUCUGGUGAAGUGUUUUCACUGGAGGCUGUCAAAUCACACGGAUAAGGUCCAUAGUAAGAGAGCAGAAACUGGAAGCUGAACAAGGGGCUUCCCACCUCCAGCAGGAACAGCACAGUUAGGUUCAGGGGCUGAUGGUUCCCAUCACAGCAGCCAUGUACAGCAUUUUGCAGAGGCAUUAACCAACAGGGAUGAGUUCAGAGCCAGGAGGGACAGCCUGCACUAGAUAUUUGAUCACAGCAGACUUUCAUUCCCUUACUCAGUUACUUGUGGCAAUUCAAGAGCUGUUUUCAUAAAAUAACCAGUAGUCAUCAGGCUCUCCUGCACCUUCUGUGGGUGGCCAAUACAGCCACUUGACAGCAAAGUCUUUGCUGAUGACAUUAAAAACGUCACCUGACCUCCCAUCCUCCUUCAGGUAAAUCACAAGAUCUUACUUAGCUUUUGAGUAAAAACCAAAAAGUAAUAUCAAAAAACAGUUGGAGAAAACAAGUCUUUCAAGCCUUAGCUGAUAAACAGAUUUAGAAGAGUGUAAUAAAUUAUUUGUUCCCAUUUUAUGGGUGUAAGGGAAUACAGGCAUCCCAGGUGGCUUAGAAAUGAAUCAGGAAAGAGAAAGGUCUUCCUCCAGCAAAUGGAACUGGGAAAAUAAAGAUGUAUCACACCCUCUGACCAAGACCCAGCCCCUGGGCAGGCCAGGCCAAGGGUGCCCCUCCCGGACUCUGGCCCUGCUCUGCCCACAUCCCCAUCCAGAACUGGAGCACAUGGCAGUGCUGUUUCUGGGAAGCUGCGGAGCUGCCCUGCUGGACACCACCUCUGCCUGGAGGCUCAUGGCACUCCUGUCUCAGGGCAGGCUUUGCCCACCAGCUCAGCGUUCAGGGCUUCCUCCAGCAGGUCCCUCCCUCCACUCCCAGCACUGUGCCCACGAUUUAGGGCAAUACAGAGGUUUCACUUGCCUCUUUGCUUUCAUAUUUGCAUUACACACAUUGAGAUUCUUCUGCUUAAUCCUGACCCAUUUCCAGUGGCAAAGCAGUGAACACAGGGUACAAUGGUUUGAUGCUGCAAAGUCAGCUCUACGUGGGGUGUAGGAAGAAGGCUCACAGCAGAGGCUUCUGUAAAAAGAAACUCCAGUAAUUUUUAGUUUGUUUGCUAAUUGACAAGCUGAUUUUAGACUGCACGAAAGACUAAUUGCUAUUUCUUUCAGCCAGUGAACUGUUAAUGAAGCUGGAAUUUGUCCUAAAGACCAUAUGGCACAUGUCAUCUCUAUCAAGUUAUCUAAAUUCCAGAAAGUCCACAUUGAUAUGUGUAUAAAUAUGGAAGAGGAAAAUGAAAUGUGAUUCUUUAAAAAGCAUAGUUUCUGCUGUAACCCCAAGUUCCAAGUUGCAGCUGUCUAUUGAACGGCAUUGGUCUCUCAUGCCACAUGAUGGUAAGAAAAAAAAUUAAUCUUAAUUUCUAAAAGACAGCAAAAUUGAGGAGUGAGAUGAAGAAUGUGAGGCAUCUUUUAAAAUUCCCAGUCUGGUCUAAUGAAAAUGCUGGUUCACAACGAGGAUGGGUUUUCUUUGGGGAGGAAGUAAGUAUAGGGAGAGCAAACAAGGUCACAGUUUUUUUCCUAUCAGCAUCCCUAAGUAAGGACACAUGCUUGGUGACAUGAAGAGGUCUCAGUCAUGUCCCUAACUACUACAGAGGGCCCCUGGCUCUGGGCAGCUCUGGCACAGCAGGGACCAGACCCAUCAGGAGCAGGGAUGGGAUCUGAGGCUGCGCUGCCUCGGUGCAGGCAAGUACUCGUUGUUACUCCAUGGGGUAAGACAGAAAUCACAGAGCAGGGAAUAAUGCAAAGAUGUUUGGUUUUUCCUUUCCCAGCACUGUGUCACUGCAGGCCAGAUGGAAACCUCCUGGGUUAUUACACAGUAUAAAUUUGACAGGAUUGUAAAUAAUAAAAUUGUCCCAAAUGACAGAGCUGCUGACAGCAGACAUUAUCAUUCAGUUGCAACUGAUGUUUCCUUUUCUUUGUUUCUUCUUGUCACCCCCUCCUUAAAACUCCAUAAAGUAAAAAGGAGAAGCAGAAACUCUGAAAAUACCUGAAUGACGAACCAAAACCUGACAUUUCAUGUUCCCUGGGUUUGACUAAAUACAGCAAUGUUGAAAUAACUAGAUACAUAAAAUCUCUUUUAAAAAGGCUUAGGAAAUAAAACCAGAAAAGUGUAUCCUCUAAUAUUCUAUGUCAUUUUAAAACAUUAUUCAGAAUUGACAAGAUAGAAAACACUGUGACUAAUGGGAACUAGGGCAUCACUUAAGUGAUAUGAGCACUUGAGACAUCCCAUAUACACACAAAGUCAAAUAUUUAUAGUGUGGUGUAUCAACAGAAGCAAUCUCUCUGUUUUGGGGGCAGAUGUAGGGAUUUAUUUUAUUGUCUUUAUUUACAGCAACAAUCCUUUCAUUGCUAAUAUCCUCAGCUCCUGACAAAACAUGCCUAAGGGACAGCAGCUCUCUCCCCCCUUUCUGGAAACUUGGGCUGUGCUUUAACUGCAAUUAGGAAGCUGCUUUGAUUUUCCUUCCAAGUUGACUGCUCCUGACCCUGGCAGAGGUUCGUUAGUCACACAAGGUUGUUCCCCUGAAGACUGAAGAGCAUCACUCCCAAUGAGUCUGUCUGGGUAGGAAGGGAACCUCACAGACAGGGCCCAAGGAAACCUCAGCACCCACAUAAGGGCAGGGAACACUCUAUAAACAGUGCACUGUAUUGCAGGCACUGUAAAUAUUGCAAUUACGUAUCUGAAAGAGACAAAUAUUCAAAACUAAAGUUAACAAGCACAGGCCAAAACAAUCUGCAUUUAAAUAUAUUAAACACGGCAGGCCUGGUCUUCAAAGCAAUUUUUUUUCCAGAAGCGAUUAAGAAAAGAGAUGACCCCUCUUUACCCCACUUAACAAUGCAGCACCCAUCAGCAGGAAUUUUAUGACUCUGUGAUGGUAUUUAUUGACAGCUGUCAAACAUUUGGGUAAAAAUAUGGAAAGAUACACUGGCAGGCACUAAGUAAGAAACAUGGGGAGGGGACUCAGGUGAUCAGUGGUGUGUUUAUUUUGGUGCAUAAAACAUGUAAGGAAAAUUAUUUCCACAUUUCUAAGAAAAGGUUACAAGCAAUGAAAAACAAAUGGAAAAGAAACCAAGCAAUUUUUUUACAGUAACGUUGAACAAGGGAGCUAAAGGCAAAGUUGUUAAUUCAACAGAAGCCAAGUAUUUUGGAACAAUCCUGGUUAGGAGGAACACAGGUUAAAACAGACUAAUUUAUCCUUUAUUAAUGAAUACUGUUCUGUGAAACAAUGUUUAAAAUCUGAAAUGUUCCUACAGUUCUUUUUCCUGCCAUGUUGUGCAGACAGAGGAGAAUAAACAAACUUGCUCUCUACUGAGAGCUGGAAAGUGUGACCCAGCCCUGACCUUCCCUCCCACCAUCUCCAUCUGGGCCCAGAAGGAAGAGCAGAAUCAAAGGCCAACAAAAAGUAUGGUUCCCCAAGGAGCUCCUGUGCCUGCCCCUCCCAGAGCCCUCAGCAGCUCAUGUGCACAGCCAUCCUUGCAAAGGGGACCAGGACACUCCAGCUUACUAAAAUUUUCAGCCUGAGAGAUUUGCCUCGUGCACACAGAUUUCAGCUGGGUUUGAGAACAUCUUGCAAAGCAGUGAGGGGCUGGUGGGGAAUUAAAUGUCAAAGCCAUGGCCCUCAAUCCACAGCUCCACAUGGUCUUUAGCUCCACAGGUAAUUCAGGUGUAAGAACCCAAGCUCAGAUUGAUUUGGGAAUUCAAUCAACAGGCAGCAGGGAAGACAGGAGGUGCUCUUACACAAGGAAACAGAUGCCAGACAGCACUGAAUGCUGUGAUCUGAGGGAGAAUACAGCAACAGGCCAGCCAAGAAUGCAAGCAGGUACAAAUACUUGAGCUUUGACUUACUUAAGCCAACUAUAAGUUAUUUAAAAAAAAAAAAUUAAAAAUAAAAUCCCUCCCCAUUCAGUCUGUGAGAGCUGAAAAUCCAAACUAACCUCUAAACCAUGACCAAAAAAAAUCUAAAAUAAUAUGCAGUUUUGUUCCAGUCCCAAACACAUUUUCAUCUGAGAUCUUUUCACAUUGCAAAAUGAUUUCUCCUAAACACUUAGGAAACAGAACUCCAAAGAGAAAGGGUUCAAUAACCAUGCAGACAGUCUGACAGCAUGAAGCUCUAAAAGAAAGAGCCACCUGAACCUUUUGCUCCCACUGCAGACUCACAGAGGCAUUACUUAUUUCAAAAAAAAAAAAAAAAA